CCUACGGGGGGCUGCAGUGGGGAAUAUUGGACAAUGGGGGCAACCCUGAUCCAGCCAUGCCGCGUGUGUGAAGAAGGCCCUCGGGUUGUAAAGCACUUUCAGUGAGGAAGAACGCCUGGUGGUUAAUACCCAUCAGGAAAGACAUCACUCACAGAAGAAGCACCGGCUAACUCCGUGCCAGCAGCCGCGGUAAUACGGAGGGUGCGAGCGUUAAUCGGAAUUACUGGGCGUAAAGCGCGCGUAGGUGGCUUGAUAAGCCGGUUGUGAAAGCCCCGGGCUCAACCUGGGAACGGCAUCCGGAACUGUCAAGCUAGAGUGCAGGAGAGGAAGGUAGAAUUCCCGGUGUAGCGGUGAAAUGCGUAGAGAUCGGGAGGAAUACCAGUGGCGAAGGCGGCCUUGUGGACUGACACUGACACUGAGGUGCGAAAGCGUGGGUAGCAAACAGGAUUAGAUACCCGAGUAGUC
rnacentral:rRNA from 1 species